CCAAGAAAGAUAAAAAUGAGAAAACAUAAUAACAGAUUGUAUAGGGCCUUAGAGCUGUUUAUUAACUAGGUAUAUUGACAGAAAACAUAACAGAUUGUAUAGGGCCUUAGAGCUGUUUAUUAUACAGGUAUAUUGACAGAAAACAUAACAGAUUGUAUAGGGCCUUAGAGCUGUUUAUUAACUAGGUAUAUUUACAGAAAACAUAACAGAUUUUAUAGGGCCUUAGAGCUGUUUAUUAACUAGGUAUAUUGACAGAAAACAUAACAGAUUGUAUAGGGCCUUAGAGCUGUUUAUUAUACAGGUAUAUUGACAGAAAACAUAAUAACAGAUUGUAUAGGGCCUUAGAGCUGUUUAUUAACUAGGUAUAUUGACAGAAAACAUAACAGAUUGUAUAGGGCCUUAGAGCUGUUUAUUAUACAGGUAUAUUGACAGAAAACAUAACAGAUUGUAUAGGGCCUUAGAGCUGUUUAUUAUAUAGGUAUAUUGACAGA